rnacentral:rRNA from 1 species
AUACGGAGGGGGUUAGCGUUGUUCGGAAUUACUGGGCGUAAAGCGCACGUAGGCGGACUGGAAAGUUGGGGGAGAAAUCCCGGGGCUCAACCCGGGAACUGCCUCCAAAACUUCCAAUCUAGAGAUCGAGAGAGGUGAGUGGAAUUCCAAGUGUAGAGGUGAAAUUCGUAGAUAUUUGGAGGAACACCAGUGGCGAAGGCGGCUCACUGGCUCGAUACUGACGCUGAGGUGCGAAAGCGUGGGGAGCAAACAGGAUUAGAAACCCUAGUAGUCC